rnacentral:lncRNA from 1 species
GUCUGCUGACUGUGAGGUACAGGGUCAAAGUAUAUGUUUAUGUUCGCCAUCCGCGGCGAACCGUUCGGGACAUCACUACUCUCCAGUAAUAGAAAAUCAAAUCUCUCCCAAAUGCUGUAAUUUUUCUACAGAGUAUUAAAUCCAUCAUCAGAGAAAAAUCCAUUUAAAAAAUGAUUCUAUGGGACAUUAAUCAGCAAUACAGGGAAGCUGCAGGUUGUAUAAUUUACAUGGGAUUAUUACUUAAAUAGUGUAACAAGAUUGGAAGGAGAGAUUUCCUCACCAAAUACUAACACCAUAAAGAGAGAUAGUAUCACUUUCUGUCACCCUUAAGUGGGAGAGACAGACUCUGUGUCCCAUAGCUCCUUCUGUCUGUGUCACCCUGCAGUGGGAGGGACAGACUCUGUGUCCCAUAGCUCCUUCUGUCUGUGUCACCCUGCAGUGGGAGGGACAGAAUCCGUGUCCCAUAGCUCCUUCUGUCUGUGUCACCCUGCAGUGGGAGGGGCAGACUCUGUGUCCCAUAGCUCCUUCUGUCUGUGUCACCCUGCAGUGGGAGGGGCAGACUCUGUGUCCGCUCCUUCUGUCUGUGUCACCCUGCAGUGGGAGAGACAGACUCUUUGUCUCAUAGCUCCCUUCUCUCUGUGUCACUCUGCAAUGGGAGGGACAGACUAUGUGUCCCAUAGCUCCUUCUGUCUGUGUCACCCUGCAGUGGGAGGGGCAGACUCUGUGUCCGCUCCUUCUGUCUGUGUCACCCUGCAGUGGGAGAGACAGACUCUUUGUCUCAUAGCUCCCUUCUCUCUGUGUCACUCUGCAAUGGGAGGGACAGACUAUGUGUCCCAUAGCUCCUUCUGUCUGUGUCACCCUUCAGUGGGAGGGACAGAUUUGUGUCCCGUAACUCCCUUAUCUCUGUCACCCUGCAGUGGUAGGGACAGAUUCUGUGUCCCACAGCUCCUUCUGUCUGUGUCACCCUGCAGUGGGAGGGACAGACUCCGUGUCCAAUAGUUCCUUCUAUCUGUGUCACCCUGCAGUGGGAGGGACAGACUGUGUGUCCCAUAGCUCCUUCUGUCUGUGUCACCCUGCAGUGGGAGGGACAGACUCCGUGUCCCAUAGCUCCUUCUGUCUGUCACCCUGCAGUGAGAGGGACAGACUCAGUGUCCCAUAUCUCCUUCUGUCUGUCACCCUGCAGUGGGAGGGACAGACUCAGUGUCCCAUAGCUCCUUCUGUCUGUUUCAUAUUGCAGUGGGAGAAACAGACUCUUUGUCUCAUAGCUCCCUUCUGUCUGGUCCACCCUGCAGUGGGAGGGACAGACUCUAUCUAUGUCAAACUGCAGUGGGAGGAUAUUACUCCAGGCGCCUUGUCUGUUAGGCCAAAUUAAGGUUCCUUCUCUGUUGCACAGCUGAUCCCCUUUCUGGGCCAGGGGUGAUCCUGUGAAAGCCAUAGGGAUGCACAUUCAGCUUCCACUGCCCUCUAAUUUGGCUGCUAGCUAAAUCAGGUGGAUCCCAGUUACUCUUCCUCCUUUUCUAAAUUUCUGUCAGUUUUAAAGCCCUAUCGAUUGGUUCAGGUUCCUUAAACUAGCCAGUCAGGAUUAAGCCAUUUGCCAGCUCCUUAUCCUAAAUGGAAAUGAUAUUUACAUAUUUAUUAAUUAUUAAUGUAAUGUAAUUACCUGAUUACACUGCCAGAGGCCAGUCUUGUCUAUACUGCCACCAACUGUUCCCUGUCCACCACAGAUACGCCCAAAGGUGGUGCUGGUGUUUCUCGAUCACCGUGAGUUGAUGAUUGGUAUUAUUAUUAUUUAUAAAGAAUCAACAAAUUCCGCAGCUCUGUACAAUAGAUAACAGAAGUAUUUACAGGACGAGUUUGACGCACAGGAACAGAGGGUGUCGAGGACCCUGCUCAAACCAGCUUACAUUCUAGAAGGAUUGGGUAAAGUGACACAAGAGGUAAAGUUAGGUUGUAUUUCACGUACGGGAAAGUAGGUUACUAGAAUAGUUUACAAAAAGGUUAGUUUAUUGGAUGACACAGUUGCCCACGGUUUGGCUUUUUUAUAAUUGGGGGGAUGGUUGCGUGCUUGAAGAGUGCAGGAAAUAUGGCAGAGGAAGGGAGGAGAUUGAAUAUUUUAGUGAGAGUCAGAGCAAGAGUGCGAGUGAGAUGUGAGGGAAUAUGAUCAAAGGAACAAGUGAUGAGACUGAAAGACCGAAGCAGAGCAGAAACCUCUGAUAGCAUAGCGGGUGGAAGUGAGCAUAGAACUACAGAGAGAGUGGGGUUGGGAUAAGUAUUCAUAGGGGUAGGAAAGAGAAUAGAGAUCACAGAAAUCUUCUCAGCGAAGUGAGUUGCGAAGUUUGUAGCAGUCAAGUUAGUAGGAGGAGGAGCAGCAAAGGGACGAAGGAUAGUGUGAAAGAGGCAUUUGGGUUCUUGGGAGAGGGUGGUUAUGACGUUAUUGAAGUAGUUUUCUUUUGCGGAGGAAAGCACCAAACUGUGCGAGCGUUGCAUAAAUUUAUAGUGGAGAAAGUAUGACACAGAUUAAGACUUUCUCCAGCAGCAUUCAUCAGUUCUAGAGUAUUUUUGGAGGUAAUUGGUCAGCUUAGUGUUUCAAGGUUGUAACCGGAAUCACUCAGAUUGUUUAAAUAUAGGAGGCACUAUGAUAUCAAAAUCAAGUACCUAAACGUCCUCCUUUACAGGAGUGUUGGAGAAUUGUAGGUCAUCGACACAUGAAGAAGCAGGAGUAGUGCCCUCAGAAGGGGGAGCCAGGUCUUAGUAGAGUAGAGAGUGCUAGUAGGGUGAGAGAAUUUGAUAUGAAGAGGUCGUGUAAAGCUGUUGUUUUCAGAUUGUUGCAGAUGGAACGGGCGUCCCAGAAUGUGCAUGGAAUGUUGGUAGAUGAGGAUAAAUAGCAGGCUACUUGGGUGAGGUUUGAGUGGUUUCUGGUUAUCUUAGUGCGAGCAGAGAAGGUGAAUAGCUCUGGGUUGGGAGAGCCAUCACCAGCUGCUAGAAAUAGGAGAAGAGAUAGUGACAAGAGAUGUGAUUGGGUUUUGUAUGGACAGGGUCUAGAAUGAGAUUGUUUUAGAGUAUGAGAGAGAGAGAAGUGGGGAGUGUGGCAGAGAGGGGGGAAAUUGGAGGUUGGAGGGUUAAGAGUAAAUUUGAUAGUAGAGGAGGAGAGGGUAAAGAAGAGGAACCUGCAGGAUUCAGAGUAAUUGCUUUCAUUCUCUGCAGGUGAGGGGAGAUUAUAAUGUAGGGAAUCCCCUGCAGAGCACAGGUGAUUAAUGUCUGGUUAAUUCUCCUACAUCCAGUAGCGCAUCAUCCAAACCUGGCAUAAAUCUCUGCCCAAAAAGCCAUUGCCGUCUUUAUAGCUACAACUUACAAAAGUUAUGUUUGAAUAUCAGGAAUGUAUAAAACACAGAUGUAUAAGCCGAACAGCUUCUAAAUGAAUGAAUCUGUAACCAUUUCAGCUAAUUGUAAGUCUUCCAGAGAGCGCUGGUGUAGCACGCCGCAGCCUGUCGAAGCAGUAAACACGAGCUGUAAGUUUUGCAGCAAAUAUUCAUUGUGUGGUUAUGUGAUGCAAUUCAGAUGUGCAAAUGCUGCAGGAACAUUUCCUAAGUCAGUAGCUGCCCUGUCUGCCAGUCAGGGAACGCACACUGGCGUGGGACCCAAACAUGGCGAUUAACAACCAUCCACAGCACAAAUUAUCGUAUUCAUUCACAAUAAUGGAGAUGGUUUUCCGGAUGUCUGCUGAUCCCCAAAUCAUCAUUAUUCUCAACACACUUAUUCCAGCCACUGCUCACGGUGAUCAAACACAAUUUUCUGAUGUGCGCUAUAAGCAACGGAGACUGUGCUGCCCAUGGACCUCUGGGUUUCAACCCGAUGGGAUGCGUCUCAUACAAGGGUGGAAAAGACUUAAAUAAGCACAUCACUGACACUUUCGGCAUCCCCAGGCAAGCGCAAUCACGCAAAAGUGGCGAGUUAAUAGAUGGAGAUUUACAUUUAAAUGUUUACCAAAAAGUAAAAAGAAAUUUUAAAAAACUGGGGGCAAACAUGUCCUACUUUCUUAGGCAGAUGGGGCUCAAUGGACUGUGAGGAGAGCUCUUACUGCACAUGAACUGGUAGUCCCCCCUGUGGCUGUUUUUAUCUGUAAUGCUGACCCUAACCUAUAGCCCCUGUGUAUAAGUCACAUAACUGUUGAUCUAUCUCCUUUAUCCCGUGUUACUGUCCUUGUCCAGUUCACCACUUCUACCCAUGUCCACUCAUCAUCUCCCUGUUCUUUUUCCUUCCUCUGUUCAUUCCUAUCCCCCAUUGCAUUAUCUCAUCUGUGCCAUCCAUUCAACUUCAUUCAUUAUAUCCCCAGUUGGCUCUCUCCCCAUCUCUCUAUUCCAGCUCCCCCUCUCGCUACCUCUCCUCUCCAGCUUGCUUUCUCCCCAUCUCUACUUUACAGCUCCCUCUCUCCUCACCUCUCCUUCCCUGCUCCCUCUUAUUUCCAGUUCCAUGUCGUUCCACUUCUUCUCCCCAGCUCAAUCUUCACUCCAAAGAAGACUAUUUUGAUGUCUUCCUCCCAACAUUUUUCCUCCUCACCUGUUUUUCUCUCCUCAUGUCCCCCAUUUCUCUUCCCCCUUCUGUGUCCCUCUCUUGCCAUCUUUUUUCCCUUUCCUGCUGUCUUUCUCCUAUCAUCAUUCCUUCCUCCCACACAUUGCAUCUCUCGUACCAUCUCUUUUCCUUUGUUGUGUCUGACCUACUACCUCUCUUCCUUGAUUUUUCUCUCCUACCAUCACUGUCUCUCGCUUACCAAUUCUCUUCCCCGUUGUCUCUCCCAAUAUCUCCUUUCCUGCUGUCUCUCCCAAUCUCUCCUCCCUUGCUGUCUCUCCUAAGUCCCAAUCUGCCUGUGCUGAUAAAGAAUGGUCCCCAGCAUGUCUAGAUGAAAUCUAUAACUUUAUGAAUAUAAUUAUUUAUUUAUUUUGAAG